rnacentral:ncRNA from 2 species
UGAGCUAAAAUAAGAAGAUGUCGUAUAUGUCUGGGAAUAGGGCCCGGACGUUUCUACUCAGCUACCGUAAAUGGCUGAACUACGAGCAAUAGCAUAUGCAGU